rnacentral:rRNA from 1 species
GACGAGCCUGACAAACGUUAUUCGGAAUCACUGGGCUUAAAGGGUGCGUAGGCGGUGUGGUAAGUCGGAUGUGAAAUACCUCAGCUUAACUGAGGAACUGCAUUCGAUACUAUCAUGCUAGAGUAAGACAGAGGUGAGUGGAACUGAGGGUGGAGCGGUGAAAUGCGUUGAUAUCCUCAGGAACACCGGUGGCGAAGGCGACUCACUGGGUCUUUACUGACGCUGAUGCACGAAAGCUAGGGUAGCAAACGGG